GAUGAACGCUGGCGGCGUGCCUAAUACAUGCAAGUCGAGCGAAUGGAUUAAGAGCUUGCUCUUAUGAAGUUAGCGGCGGACGGGUGAGUAACACGUGGGUAAUCAACCCCUGACAUCGGGAUACCCCGGGGAAACCCGGAUCAAUACCGGAUAAGGUGCGGAGGCGCAGGCCGCCGUACCAAAGGUAGCUUCGGCUUCCGGUCAGGGACGAGCCCGCGGCCCAUUAGCUUGUUGGUGGGGUAACGGCCCACCAAGGCGACGAUGGGUAGCUGGUCUGAGAGGACGAUCAGCCACACUGGGACUGGGACACGGCCCAGACUCCUACGGGAGGCAGCAGUGGGGAAUCUUGCGCAAUGGGCGGAAGCCUGACGCAGCAACGCCGCGUGCGGGAAGAAGGCCCUAGGGUCGUAAACCGCUUUCAGGGGAGACGAAGCUUCCGGGGUCAAUAGCCUACGGGGUGACGGUACUCCCAGAAGAAGGUCCGGCUAACUACGUGCCAGCCGCCGCAGUAA
rnacentral:rRNA from 1 species